rnacentral:rRNA from 1 species
GACGAACGCUGGCGGCGUGCUUAACACAUGCAAGUCGAACGGAAAGGCCCUGCUUUUGUUGGGUUCUCGAGUGGCGAACGGGUGAGUAACACGUGAGUAACCUGCCCUUGACCGUGUGAUAACUUCAGGAAACUGGGGCUAAUACCGGAUAGGAUCUCCUGCUGCAUGGUGGGGGUUGGAGAGUUUCGGCGGUUGGGGAUGGACUCGCGGCUUAUCAGCUUGUUGGUGGGGUAGUUGCUUACCAAGGCUUUGACGGGUAGCCGGCCUGAGAGGGUGACCGGCCUCCUUGGGACUGAGGUAGGGACCAGACUCCUACGGGCGGCAGCAGUGGGGAAUCUUGCACAAUGGGCGGAAGCGUGAUGCAGCAAUGCCGCGUGCGGGAUGCCGGCUUUCGGGUUGUAAACAGCUUUCGCCUGUGACGAAGAGUGAGUGACGGUAAUGGGUAAAGAAGCACCGGCUAACUACGUG